CGAAGGGCGUAGCGUUGUUCGGAAUUACUGGGCGUAAAGGGACGCGUAGGCGGCUUUUCUAAGUCAGGCGUGAAAUACCCCGGGCCGUUAACCUGGGAACUGCGCUUGAGACUGGAAGGCUUGAGUUCGGGAGAGGUGAGUGGAAUUCCCAGUGUAGAGGUGAAAUUCGUAGAUAUUGGGAAGAACACCAGCGGCGAAGGCGGCUCACUGGACCGAUACUGACGCUGAGGCGCGAAAGCGUGGGAGCAAACAGGAUU
rnacentral:rRNA from 1 species